CCCACUCCCGGGACAGUAGGAAGAAAGGGGAAGGGCAUCAACGUGCAACGGGCAUCCAAACUUCACAAUGAAAGCUUGGUUUCCCCAGGCUCGGUCCUCCUCCUCUUUCCACUGCCUAGGAAACCGCCCUCGGGUGCUCUCUCCGGCCUCUGGGACAGACAGGAAAACUCCUAAGCACGGGAGGAUCUUAUUCCCUGACUCGCUUGUGGUUGAAAAGCCAGUCACCAGACCUCAGAGAUCUUUUCAAGGGUUUACGAACUGCAUCUUGUUGUUUUCCAAAGCAGCGGUCUGUGGUCUGUGAUCUGUGGUCCGGAUGUACACCGACUGACUGAACCGGCGCCUCGCGAUGGGCAUGGAAGCCGCUUCCGCCCCCAAGCCCAUCAGAGGGCCAAGGUCAACCCCCCCCCCCCCGCCCCGUUUCCUCAACAGCCCCUCCGAAUCUCCAUCGCCUGCCUCAAGCGGGAUCGUCCUCAUACCGUUCGUUCGGUACCCGAAGAGAUCAGAGGCCAGCUACUCAAGAACUCUCCGUUUCCCGCACCCCCCCAACCCCCCGUUUGAACGUCCCUCUAUUUCUCUCCACCCACCCCUCCCCUUUCCCUUUGGUUUUCCAGGAAGAGGGAUUCAGCUUGGCAGUUCCAGGGUCCUGGCUCCACGUGGGGUGCCCUGGGAACCAUCUGCUCAGCCUCCCCCAAAGAUCUCGUUCCCUCAGUUUGCCAGCUGCUUUCUCUUCGGCCUGUCUCUUUCCUUAAGCCGCUGAGCACACCCAAGUCUCUCCCAGCAUCCACACCUCUCCUUUCUGCUCUUCCACCACUGCCUUCUCUCUCUACCUUUCACGGCUAAGCUGCUGCCAGAAGACCUCGACUCCUCGUCAGUCAUCCAGUCAUCACCUCGUCUCUCACCAGCUCCUCGAAAGAUUCCCCAAAUCUCGUCGCCGUCACGUCCUAGCAAGUGGCCAGUACACACCCUUCAGUUCCUUCGUCUUCCUAAACUCUCUGUGGUGUCUGAGGAAUGCUGCCCACGUCUUUAGUCUCUGCAAGUUCUCUCCACCCUCUUUCUCUGGGGGAUGGCCCCCUCCCCAGGCACGGUCUUCAGGGAACAGGAACCCCUCGGGUCUCAGAGCAAGCUCAUGCGCUCCUACGAUUCGACUCGCCCCCCGGAUGCCCAGGGCUUCUCAGUGCGUACGACUGACGUCACCCUGCCCCUGACUCCACGCUGCUUUCUCUAACUGUCUGCUGGACGCACCUCUCAGUAUGUCCAAAGGCUUCUCAAAACCGACACGUCCAAAAGGGAGCCCGGUAUCCUCCAACAAAACCCUCCCCCUCCUCUUACCUUCCUUUCAUCACCUCAGAAAACCUCUGCCCAUCUCAUCACCUGAGAGCGAGAGGCCUCAGGUCUGUGCUUGAGCUCUCUGUCUCGCCCACUUCACAGCCUACCGACUCCCAAAGAGAGCCGAGCGCCUUCCCUUCUUUGCCGUCCCCGCUGCUCUGCCGCAUGCCUUCCUGUCUCUUGCAUGCAACCAGCCCAGUAGACUCCUUACUGAUCUUGCUGGCUGGCCUCCAGGCACACUGCCCCCCAGCUCCCCACUUGAAUCCAUCCUCCACUCUGUUGGGAGGGUGACCCAAGAGGAAAACCCUGCCGUAACUGACACGGUGCCCGGCCCCCACAGGGGUGGACGUGGGCAAGAAAGUAACCAAAGUUUCUGAGGUUGUUUUGCAGAACAACAGGAAGACGGCAGAUCAGAGAGCAGCUUGAUGGCAGCCCCCCGGCUCCCGCCCGACCGGACAUCGUGCAGAGGCUUGGACCAGCUGAAAUGACGGAUCGCCCACUUUCUGCGUCAGGGAUGGAGAUCCUCGGCGUGCAACACGUCGAACCCCACUGACUUCGCACUUGUGACCCACGAAGAGAUACGAGCGACAGUCGCACCUGAGCAGAGGACCCUUCAAGCUUCACCCCCAGCGCUCUCCUGGUCCCACCCCUACCCCGAACCCCAGAUAAACGCCCCAAUGUUUUGUUUUCCCUUUGAGGAGGCGGGUUUGAGUUUUACUCCCACCUCCUUGUCUGGCCGCCUCUUGAUCAUAAACCUCUUUCCUUGCUGCAA
rnacentral:lncRNA from 1 species